AUUGAACGCUGGCGGCAUGCCUUACACAUGCAAGUCGAACGGCAGCACGGGGGCAACCCUGGUGGCGAGUGGCGAACGGGUGAGUAAUGCAUCGGAACAUACCCAGUCGUGGGGGAUAACGUAGCGAAAGUUACGCUAAUACCGCAUACGUCCUGAGGGAGAAAGCGGGGGAUCUUUGGACCUCGCGCGAUUGGAGUGGCCGAUGUCAGAUUAGCUAGUUGGUAGGGUAAAGGCCUACCAAGGCGACGAUCUGUAGCGGGUCUGAGAGGAUGAUCCGCCACACUGGGACUGAGACACGGCCCAGACUCCUACGGGAGGCAGCAGUGGGGAAUUUUGGACAAUGGGGGCAACCCUGAUCCAGCCAUGCCGCGUGCGGGAAGAAGGCCUUCGGGUUGUAAACCGCUUUCGGACGGAAAGAAAUCGCACGGGCCAAUACCCUGUGUGGAUGACGGUACCGUAAGAAGAAGCACCGGCUAACUACGUGCCAGCCGCCGCUGUAAUAC
rnacentral:rRNA from 1 species